rnacentral:rRNA from 1 species
CAGUAGCCACGGGAAUACGUAGGGUGCGAGCGUUAAUCGGAAUUAUUGGGCGUAAAGGGAGCGCAGGCGGACAUAUAAGUCCAUCUUAAAAGUGCGGGGCUCAACCCCGUGAGGGGAUGGAAACUGUAUGCCUUGAGUGCAGGAGAGGAAAGCGGAAUUCCCAGUGUAGCGGUGAAGUGCGUAGAUAUAUGGAGGUACACCGGUGGCGAAAGCGGCCCUCUGGCUUGUAACUGACGCUGAGGCUCGAAAGCGUGGGGAGCAAACAGGAUUAGAUACCCGGUAGUCCCUGUCUCUUAUACAC